rnacentral:lncRNA from 1 species
GUGUCUCUUUCCCUGAAGCAUGUCAGGACAGAAUAGAGAGCGGACACUUUACACGCAUUUCCAGGGCCUAAGAAAGGUGGGGAAGAAAUAUAAAGAAUUUAAAGCCAUAUUUUCCUACCCAGAUGUGUCUUAUAAACACACAUAUGCCACAUGGACACACACUUCUCACAAAUACAUCACACUCACACAUACACAAUCAGUGGCCACUCUGAACCCAUGAAACUUCCAUCAGGAAACCUUCCUGAGCUGGUCCAGGCCUCACAAUCUCUCAGAUCCCUAAAUGUGUACAGCACUGACCAUUAGGCCCAGCCAAGCCAGCCCUCACUAUGUAGUGUUCUAUUCAUUCAAAUAACUAUGCAAUAACUACUGAAAAUCGGGACCAAGUAUUGGAGAAGGAGGACCAAAAAAAAUGUUGUUUCUGUCCUCCAGGAACUUUGAAUCUCCUAGGAGAAUCUAGCAUACACAUCAAGACGUCACAGUAGGACAAAGGAAUAAGUGUUGUCAGUGACAGACAGAGAUAAAGGGGUGACAGGGUGAAAAUGAGGGGACAUUGAAAAGACUUUCAACUAUCUCUGGAAUAAAUG